UGGUCUAUCUUGGGUUAGUUAAAAAAAAAAUCUGGAUUGACCAUGCCUCCAUAGCCUAGCAUCAUUACUGGAGGGAAUGCACCAGUAAUGCUAGCUUGGUGUGCAACGACUGGUGGUGUAUCUUUGAUUAGGGGCCAGGAGCUGAUCUACGCUGCCAUGCGCAUAAAUGGGGCGCUGGCAAAGACCACAACUCCCGCCUCACCUCUUACCUGCUCACCAACGGUUGUCGAUGGGAGAACAGAGUUAGAAACAUGUAUGGAGCCAGUACAUGGAGACUUGCAAUAUGAUGUGAUGAUGUCCAGACUGACAGACGGGCUUGAUACUGAGGUCUCUAAACAGAGAGAGACCUGGCACUCACAGCAUUAACAUUUUACCAGACACAACUUUUACUUGUGUUGUCUUUUUUCAAAUUAUUGAAUUGAAUGGUAUCAGUCAAUAUAGGGAGGGAGGAACCCUGUGUAUUCUGCAACAGGAUCAGAGAACUCCUCUUGUAUACGAGAUACCACACAGGAAGAUAUGACCACUGUUUGCCAAGGCAGCCCCAUUACCACCAGACAAAAUGCCGAUAGACACAGUAUCUGUACCGGCUGGGAAUGACAAUGGAACGACAAUACUCCUAUCAGCCGACACAUGAAGGCAACCCAGCAGAGAUGGCUUAAAAUAACCUGUAGAACAGGAAGAGAGAGAGCGGCUUUCCUCCCACUACGUAGUGUCAUACACACACACUCAGGACCCCAGGAAGAGUAGCAGCUAAUGGAGAUCCUAAUAAAA